rnacentral:rRNA from 1 species
AACAAACGCUGGCGGCGUGCCUAAUACAUGCAAGUCGAACGGGGAAAGCUUUCGGGUGAGUACUAGUGGCGCACGGGUGAAUAACGCGUGGAUAAUCUGCCCUCGAAUGGGGAAUAACUAGUCGAAAGAUUAGCUAAUACCGCAUAAGACCACGACUACUGAGGUAGUUGGGGUCAAAGGAGCAAUUCGUUUGAGGAUGAGUCCGCGUAAGAUUAGCUAGUUGGUGAGGUAAUGGCUCACCAAGGCGAUGAUCUUUAACUGGUCUGAGAGGAUGAUCAGUCACACUGGAACUGAGACACGGUCCAGACUCCUACGGGAGGCAGCAGUAGGGAAUACUGGACAAUGGGGGCAACCCUGAUCCAGCGACGCCGCGUGAGCGAUGAAGGCCUUCGGGUCGUAAAGCUCUGUUGUAAGGGAAAAAGUUCUGAUUGUACCUUACGAGAAAGGAUCGGCUAACUUCGUGCCAGCCGCCGCGGUAAAAC